rnacentral:rRNA from 1 species
GCGCUGGAUGCCUUGGGGAUCGCGCAGCGUAAGGCGGCAAAGGAUGCGAACAGGAUCAAUGCUGCUUUGAUCACCAAUGUUGCGAACGCCGC